rnacentral:rRNA from 1 species
GUGCCAGCAGCCGCGGUAAUACGGAGGGUGCAAGCGUUAUCCGGAUUCACUGGGUUUAAAGGGUGCGUAGGCGGGCAUUUAAGUCAGUGGUGAAAUACCUGAGCUUAACUUGGGAACUGCCAUUGAUACUAUUUGUCUUGAAUGUCGUGGAGGUUAGCGGAAUAUGUCAUGUAGCGGUGAAAUGCUUAGAUAUGACAUAGAACACCUAUUGCGAAGGCAGCUAACUACGCGAAUAUUGACGCUGAGGCACGAAAGCGUGGGGAUCAAACAGGAUUAGAUACCCUGGUAGUCC